rnacentral:rRNA from 1 species
ACCCGCUGAACUUAAGCAUAUCAAUAAGCGGAGGAAAAGAAACCAACAGGGAUUGCCCUAGUAACGGCGAGUGAAGCGGCAACAGCUCAAAUUUGAAAUCUGGCGUCUUUGGCGUCCGAGUUGUAAUUUGCAGAGGGCGCUUUGGCAUUGGCAGCGGUCCAAGUUCCUUGGAACAGGACGUCACAGAGGGUGAGAAUCCCGUACGUGGUCGCUAGCCUUUACCGUGUAAAGCCCCUUCGACGAGUCGAGUUGUUUGGGAAUGCAGCUCUAAAUGGGAGGUAAAUUUCUUCUAAAGCUAAAUACUGGCCAGAGACCGAUAGCGCACAAGUAGAGUGAUCGAAAGAUGAAAAGCACUUUGGAAAGAGAGUUAAAAAGCACGUGAAAUUGUUGAAAGGGAAGCGCUUGCAGCCAGACUUGCCUGUAGUUGCUCAUCCGGGUUUUUACCCGGUGCACUCUUCUAUAGGCAGGCCAGCAUCAGUUUGGGCGGUAGGAUAAAGGUCUCUGUCACGUACCUCUCUUCGGGGAGGCCUUAUAGGGGAGACGACAUACUACCAGCCUGGACUGAGGUCCGCGCAUCUGCUAGGAUGCAGGCGUAAUGGCUGU